rnacentral:rRNA from 1 species
ACACGAGCGGCGAACGGGUGAGUAACACGUGGGUAACCUGCCCUGUACUCUGGGAUAAGCCUUGGAAACGAGGUCUAAUACCGGAUACGACCACUGAUCGCAUGAUCGGUGGUGGAAAGUUCCGGCGGUAUGGGAUGGACCCGCGGCCUAUCAGCUUGUUGGUGGGGUAAUGGCCUACCAAGGCGACGACGGGUAGCCGGCCUGAGAGGGUGACCGGCCACACUGGGACUGAGACACGNNCCANACUCNUACGGGAGGCAGCAGUGGGGAAUAUUGCACAAUGGGCGAAAGCCUGAUGCAGCGACGCCGCGUGAGGGAUGACGGCCUUCGGGUUGUAAACCUCUUUCAGCAGGGACGAAGCGAGAGUGACGGUACCUGCAGAAGAAGCACCGGCUAACUACGUGCCAGCAGCCGCGGUAAUACGUAGGGUGCGAGCGUUGUCCGGAAUUAUUGGGCGUAAAGAGCUCGUAGGCGGUUUGUCGCGUCGGCCGUGAAAACUUG